UUUUGCUCAUAAGUGCAUUACAUUACUCAUUCAUGCUGGUAUCUUUACAAAUACAUGCUUAAGCCAUCAUAUAUGGAACAGUGUAGAGCAGAGUUUAAUAAAGUUCAGUGUGUGCGUGCAACAACCGGCCCUGUCAUUGGAUGGCACAGGACUAUAUAUUGAUGUCUGAGAGUGAGUGGGUUUUGCAUGUGUUUCCCGGUUCAGUUAGAAGGUGCAUGACAGAGAGAGAGAGAGAAUCAUUGUGUUUCAAUAAACACCACCGCCUCAUUCCUGUGACUGCCUUGAGAACAAGGAAAAUAUUUCCAGAGGGAUCAAUAUCGUGCCAGUUUCUGAGGACUGCAGAGGCCAGUUGAUGGAGAAAUAUUUCAGACCUUUACAUCCUCAUCAGGACACCAGAGGCGUCAGAAGUCAUAAGUCUGAAAUGUGUGACCAUCAAGAAAAAGACACCAAGCACGGAAAGCUUGCUUACUCAAAAUCUCAGCAAAUGAAGCACCAUCACCAAAAACAUCGCCGUCACCGUAGCCAGCAUCAGUCAGACGACAAUGACAGCCAUGACACCCAUUCAACAGCAGAGGACAGCAUUUUCAGUGAUCCUCACCCCGACCCCCGACAUGAAUGUGAUAAUGACAAGAUUGCUCAUUCUCACUCUCACAAUUACGAUUGCAAGCAAAACCAUCGCCAUGUUUCUCUUUCAAAAACACCCUUAAGUUCCUCAGUUGGUUCAUCCUCCUCCUCCUCCUCCUCUUCUUCUUCUUCUUCUUCUUCUUCUUCUUCUUCUUCCUCCUCAUCAGCAUCCUCCUCUUCAUCCUCCUCCUCUUCUUCCUCCUCCUCUUCCUUUUCUUCCUCCUCUUCAACAUCUUCCUCUAGUCUUGCCUCUGAGACUAGCAGUGAGUGUUUAGAUAGAAUUCCACUUAAGCAGGCCCAGCAUUCACAGUCCUGCACUGACAUUUCCAGGAAACAUAAGUACUUUGAAGAAGGAGAAGACACAGCCCCUUUGAUAGAUAAAAAAGGUCUCCCUGCCAAACACAAACGGGAGAAAGGCAAGUCCUCUCACAGUGGCACUACUCAGGGGACGCAUAAGAACACAGAGAGGAUUACAAGAGGUUCAGGAAAUUAUGGAAGUUUCCGCAAAGCCAAAUCGAUGGAAGCUCUGACUAGACCCAAAGAAAGAGAUUGGCAUGGAAAUGAAGAUGCAAAUGAACAAGAGAGUAGAAAAGGUGAAGCCAAGAAGAAUUUAAUGAAGGAAAAAAUGAAGUUCUCUGCCUUCCUUAAUGAGAUCACUCGGCAGGUGCUCAGCCCUAUGAGACUCACCACUCUUGGCGUUACUGAUGCUCAAAGACCCUGCAGUCCGGGGAAGGCCUCUGUUAGAUCCAGUAAGGCGGACAGCAGCAUUGAAAAAGUCAGACAGCAGAGAAGUCGUCCUGCAAGUGCAGAUUCAACUAGCUCCAGCAAGUACUCCCAUACCAGCAAGCACUCUACUCGUCUGUCUCACUCUAAAUCUUUCCACCACCAUCACAGUCACCGUUCUGCAGACUCAGCCCAUCACAUGCAUCACAGGCCCAAAAGCUGCACUGAUAUUAGCUGUUUGAAAAAACGUCCCUCAUGGUCCCAAACCUCUCAGCAUCGCUCUCAUUCACCUUCCUAUAAACACCACCACCAUCACCAAGGAGACCAUCACACUUCUACUCAUCAUCACCAUGGUGACAGCCACAGCCCAAGUUAUCACCAUCAUCACAAAGACCCCCACAACACAAGUCACCAUCACCACAGACACCGCCGCAGUCCUGUUUACCAUCAUGGAGAUAACAAUAGCCCCACUUAUCACCAUGGUGACCACCACAGAGAUCACCUCAACACACUACAUCACGAUCACCAUGGAGGCCACUACAAUCCAGCUCAUCACCAUGGAGAUCAUCAUAGCCCAGCUCAUCACCAUCAUCAUGGAGACCACCAUGGCCAUGCUCAUUACCAUCGCCAUGGAGACCACCAUGGUCAUGCUCAUCGCCAUGGAGAACACCACACCCCAACACAUCAACAUGGAGAACAUCACAGUUCAGGUUACCACCGCCAUAGCAAUCACACAAAAAGCCCUACUACACCACGCCAUCAUAGACAUCACAGUCAAGCCAGUGACCAUGGAGAUCACCAAAGCCCAACCGCUCACCAUCACCAUAGCAACCACCACAACCCAACACGUCAUCAUAACCAUGGUGACCACCACACUGAACCUCGUCAUCAUCACCAUGGAGACCACCAUAGCCCAGGCCAUCAGCAUCACCAUGGAGACCACCACAGUCCAGGCCAUCACCAUCACCAUGGAGACCACCACAGUGAAUCUCAUCUGCAGUACCAUGGAGACCACCCCAAUGAAUCACACCAGCAUCACCAUGGAGACCACCACAGUCCAGGCCAUCACCAUCACCAUGAAGACCAUCACAGUGAAGCUCAUCAGCAUCAUCAUGGAGACCACCACAGUCCAGACCAUCAGCGUCAACAUGGAGACCACCACAGUCCAGACCAUGAGCAUCACCAUAAAGACCACCACAGUCCAGACCAUGAGCAUCACCAUGGAGACCACCACAGUCCAGACCAUGAGCAUCACCAUGGAGACCAUCACAGUUCAGGCCAUCAGCAUCACCAUAAAGACCACCACAGUCCAGACCAUGAGCAUCACCAUGGAGACCACCACAGUUCAGGCCAUCACCAUCACCAUGGAGACCACCACAGUGAAUCUCAUCUGCAUCACCAUGGAGACCACCCCAAUGAAUCACACCAGCAUCACCAUGGAGACCACCACAGUCCAGGCCAUCACCAUCACCAUGAAGACCAUCACAGUGAAUCUCAUCAGCAUCACCAUAGAGACCACCACAGUCCAGACCAUGGGCAUCACCAUAAAGACCACCACAGUCCAGAACAUGAGCAUCACCAUGGAGACCACCACAGUUCAGGCCAUCAGCAUCACCAUAAAGACCACCACAGUCCAGACCAUGAGCAUCACCAUAAAGACCACCACAGUCCAGACCAUGAGCAUCACCAUGGAGACCACCACAGUUCAGGCCAUCAGCAUCACCAUAAAGACCACCACAGUUCAGACCAUCAGCAUCACCAUGGAGACCACCACAGUGAAUCUCAUCAGCAUAACCAUGGAGAUGACCCCAGUGCAGGCCAUCACCAUCACCAUGGAGACCACCACAGUGAAUCACACAGGAAGUUGGAGUCUCUUACCAGCAAGCCAGAUUCACCCAGGAAUACUAGUAGCCCCUCAAGUCAAGAAGACGACCAGACAAGCUUCACUGGAUCAUCAUUGCAUAAAGAAAAGCCGCACAAGCUGGGUAGAAUCAUGGUACUACAGGAGCAGAAUGUAGGACUGCAUCAAACUUUGCUGAAGACAGCAGUGAGGAUGGAGUGUUUAGGAGAGGAGUUCAUGAGCAGCCAAAAGCUUUUGGAGGCAGAACUUCAGAAGACACGUAUGGAGCUGAGUAACCUCACAGAGAGAUUUAAGAGACUACAUGGAAACUGCUCCUCCACACAACAGACUAACAGUCUUCUUGAACAAAAGUUUCAUUCAGUGGCUCAGAGUAUGGAAGGAGAACGUGAGAGGCUGAACUGGCGUAUUUCAACACUGACGGAGAAGCUUGCCGAUGCAAAAUUUGCCAACAGUGUGGAAACAUUCAAUUUCAUGGACAGCCAUGACUAUGGAAAGGCCAAAGCUGGCGGGCAGGAGCAGUGUCUAGGUUCAGUUCCAGAGGAGGAGGAAUCUGACUGGUCAGAGGUGGGAGAAGAGACCCCACGAUUUAUACUGACAGGAUUAAACAGAGGACACGCAUGGCGACACCAGGAAGGCGACAUGGACAAAGACAGCGAGUCAGGGGGUGAGGAAAUUGUCAGACGACACUCUCCAUGCCCACUGCAGAUACCUCAUCUCCAGUUCACCCUCCACAAUGAGAAUAUGUCUGAUGGUAUGACAGGUGAGGGCACUUACAGGAUCACCACAAGUCCAACUGUUGGCUCUGCCAUCCUGAUCCGGUCCGCUAGCCUGGAGGAAAUCCCUCUGGCACGCCAUCACAUGCAGAAAGAGCUAAGAGGCACGGAGGCCAUGAUGGACCUCCACCACCGAGGGGACGAGGCCAUUGAGGAUUUAGAUAAUGAGAUCAUUCAUCACUGGAGAGCGAGCAAUGACAGGGAUGCAGCUAUUGGGAGGCCAAUAGAAAGCCGAAUGUCAGAGGCAGAUAGCAGCCUGGCCAGCCUGCAGUCAGCCGAGAGGAUGCUCAACCACUUCAUUUGUGAACCGCAGCCUGGUGAAGGAAAAGGUCAGGGCAGGGCUGAGGUGCAUGGCUGGACAGGAGGGAUUCCAGACGAGGUGUUGAAAGGGGAGCGCACACAGCUAUGCAGGUCAUGGACUACAUCACCCAGCUGGCAUCAGAGUGCUUUGGAGGCUAAAGGAAGCUGCCCUGUUGUGACCCUGACCUGAAUAAACAGGAAGAAUAUGAAAUGAUGGCUCCUACCCGGUUGGGGUUUGUAUAAAAAGGUGAGGUUGUACCAGUUUGAGGGUGUCAGAAAAAGG
rnacentral:lncRNA from 15 species